rnacentral:lncRNA from 1 species
CUUGACAAAUGCCAUUCUGGUAUCUAGGGAAGCUUGUGGAACAGCUCAGGAGUUCUGGUCAACAGGAGUGGUGCAUUCGUGGGAAGCUGGGAAGAGAUAAAGCGAUCCCAAAACAAGCCCUCUGCAACUCUGGCUUCAUACGACAUCCAACUGCAGAGGUUCCCAAGGUGCCCAAGGACGAGGGUUGUCCUCUCUCCUUCUAAGAACUUACUGUAGUUCUUCUUAACUCUGUUCCUCUAUAUCUAUCACCUAUCUAUCUAUCUAUCUAUCUAUCUAUCUAUCUAUCUAUCUAUCUAUCUAGUUGUGUGUGUGUGUGUGUGUGUGUGUGUGUGCAUUUGUCAAAACAUGGUCUAGCUGCGUGUCCCAGGAUCCUCCUGCUUGAGGCUCAUCAGUGUUGGUGUGUGAGAUGUGCACUGCCACACCCAGCUCAAUAUUUAUUUUUAACUAUGCUUAUGUUAGUAAGAACAUAGAUUAUUUACAAUACUUUCUUAGAUAUAGUCAGAUGAGUUAUGACAGCUCUAUCUGUCUGUCUAUCUUCUAUGUAUGUAUGUAUGUAUGUAUGUAUGUAUCUAUCUAUCUAUCUAUCUAUCUAUCUAUCUAUCUAUCUAUGUAUCCUAUGUAUCUAUCUGUCUGUCUGUCUAUCUAUCUAUCUAUCUAUCUAUCUAUCUAUCUAUCUAUCUAUCUAUGUAUCCUAUGUAUCUAUCUGUCUGUCUGUCUGUCUAUCUAUCUAUCUAUCUAUCUA